UUUUAAUAUUGCUAAAUGAAUAUACUGGUAGUUGGUUUCAUUAAUUUCAACACAUUUGUAAGGGUGCCAAAAAAUCUUAAAAUCAAAUUGUAUCAGCAAUUAUAAGGACAUGUUAUACAUUUAAAGACAUGUAUGUAAUACAUCAAAUUUUUUUGUAAAGCACAAUAGAUGAAGUACCAGUAAUAGAAUGUGUAUAACUGUUGUACUGACAGUCUGCAAAGUCAUGCAAUGUCUGUAUAUUGGUUAUCUCAGAAGUCAUCCUUUGUCUGCAUUGGCUAACUAGAAAACAGCCACCUGCACUUUUUUGGUACAUUCAUUUUCUCUGGAUGUUUAAGAAAUUAUGUAUAAGAAACCUUUUCCAUCAAUUUGCUAAGUCAUGAGCCAUGCAGUAAUGAAAUUGAACUCCGAUGUUUAUUUGUAACAAAAGUACUGUUAGAUAUAAUAUUUGAGUGUUUCAUUUAGAUUUGUGUGACUUGUGAUAGUGAUAUAUACCGGUAGUGUGUUUUAAAUGUUAAAAUUUAUAAAUUUUGUCAAUGAAUGAAUUUUAUGUGUAGGCAGGCAUUCAAUGUCUUUUUGAUCAGUUUGUUUGUGUACAUGAAAGACCAAUUUCUUUUGGCCAUUUUGGCCACAUUUUAUUGCAAUACAUGUACUCUGGUACUUUAAACUUAAAUAAAUCAGUUGUGAAAUAAUCU
rnacentral:misc_RNA from 1 species